ACAAAUACUAACCCAACGAACUCGGGUUCGUUCGGUUUUCUUAUGGAAGUUUCGUAGGUAGAAUGCUUGGCAAUUUAACACUGUCGAUCUCUUCUGUUCCAACCGCUCAAGCGAGCAGUAAAGUGCGCGGCGCGUUAAAAAUUUCAAAGUAUGCCAAUGAUAGGCAAAUUCUAUUAGUGGUGUUUUUUUCUAACAUUUUAUUGUGUUCUUCAACUUAUAGGUCUAGAUAAAAAAUAAAUAGAACGGAAAACUUUGUUAGUGCGUAUAAAGUAAAAUAGUACGUUAAAAGGUAAACGGCAACAAUAUCGCCUAACAUCGUUACUUAACGAAGAAUAGAUCCUGUAAAGAAAAAGGUCCACAAAGGGCCUUUUUCUUCUAUUUAACAGCUUUUGUCUGGGAAACGCCACCAUAAUUCCCAGACAAAUAAAGACAAAAGGAACAGAAGAAUAAGACGGAAGAAGUGGCCAUUUUGGAUGGAAAGUUGGUGCCACUUAUCGCCAUAUUGAAAGGAAGCUGACAUCGAACGUCCCGUGGACAACUCCAGCAAUUCCUUUUCGUUGGACAAGGAGGCCAUAAGGCGUCAAUUCGCCACCCGGCCAAGUAGGCACGUCGAGCGAAGCCCCGGUGGGCUGGAUAGGCCGUCGGCCAUCACUCCGACCACGAAAAACUUCCGGUGAACCGCCUGAAAGGAAAAUUACAAUAGCUUCGGCAGGGAGCAACGUCCAUCAACCUGCAACGGACGUCUGCCACGAUCGCCAGAA